rnacentral:misc_RNA from 1 species
GAUGAAGAACGCAGUGAAAUGCGAUAAGUAAUGCGAAUUGCAGAUUUCAGUGAGUCAUCGAAUCUUUGAACGCACAUUGCGCCCGCCAGCAUUCUGGCGGGCAUGCCUGUUCGAGCGUCAUUUCAACCCUCAAGCUCUGCUUGGUGUUGGGGCCCUACGGUUGACGUAGGCCCUUAAAGGUAGUGGCGGACCCUCUCGGAGCCUCCUUUGCGUAGUAACUAACGUCUCGCAUUGGGAUUCGGAGGGACUCUUGCCGUAAAACCCCCAAAUUUUCUAAUGGUUGACCUCGGAUCAGGUAGGAAUACCCGCUGAACUUAAGCAUAUCAAUAAGCGGAGGA